CAGGAGAAGAUGGAGCUCCAGGGCAGAAGGGAGAACCAGGAGCCCCUGGGUUGAGGGGCCCUGAAGGAACAGCAGGAGUGGGCAUCCAGGGUGAAAAAGGUGAUCAGGGUCAGCGGGGAAUCCGUGGGUUAGCA